GGAGCCGGGAGCGGCAAUGGCGGAACGCGGGGAGCAGCGGGGCCGGGCCGGGAACAGCGCGGGGGGCUGCGCCGGGCUCGGAGCAAGGAACAUCCCAAACUGCCUCCUCACCCUCAUGGACAGCAGGAAUGUCUUCCACAGCUCUGGUGUAGGAACGGCAGUGGCUGUUGGGAGCUCUGGCAGGAGCGCCUGGAGACAGCACCACCCUAGGGGAAACCUCGGUAAGGGAUAAAGACGCAGAGGAACAAGUGUUGUAAGCGCCUCUGGAUUUCUGACAGAGCAAACCUUCCAGUAAUCCCAGCAGAUCUCUUGGAGAAACUCUGUGAUCAUAAGGAUUUCCAGGAAAGCUAGACAAGGACAGAGAUGAGGGAAUGGGCUUCCAAUUAAUGAAGAUUUGAUGGGUGUAGGAAAGAUUCUUGUUAUGUUUAAUGCUCCCCUUUAUAUUCCUGGAACAAUUUAAAAUUAUUCCUUUAAAAAAUCAUCUAAAUUUGGAAAUUUAAAUUUGAGAGGAAAUAAUCCAAAACCAAUGCAGGGAGAGAUCACGGAAUCACCAUGGAAUGGUUUGGGUUGGAAGCCUCAUCUCUGAGCCUGUCCUGGGCUGGCUCCUGGCCUUCGGCCACUCACUGCAGGUGGACAUGGAAGUGAUGGAGAUGCUCAGGGAAUGCUGCUUGGUUUUCCCUGCCCCUGGCAAUCCGGUCAUUAAGAAGACUGAUUGAGCUCUUCUAGCGGGGAAACAUUUAAACAAGAAGUACCAAAAAGAAGAGGAGCUUCUGCACAACGAAAUCUGCAAGAAUCCAACUUAAAAUCCCCCCUGGAUUGUCACCGCUCCAGCCUCCAUGCACUGGUCACUGUGGCCAGGAGUGUCCAGUCCUGCUGGAAGUGCACUGGACCAGGAUGUCAUUUUCAUCUCAUGCAGGCAGAGACCCUUGGGUGACCCCCAGUCACUGGAAGGACCGGACUGGGCUCCCAGGGCACUAAUUCCAGGUGUUCUGUUUCUGGGAAUAGCACAGGAGCCUUUCCCUUGCCCAGAGGAGCAGCCAGUGCCUCCCUUAGUCCACAGAUCUCCAGGAUGGAACACGGAAUAAAUACAGGAAUGUGGAAACCCCUCCCCCUGGGAGUUCAUGGUGCUCUGGAUUACAUUUUGGAUUUAUAAUGUUAAAGUUGGGGUGUGGAGGGGUUUCUCUCUCUCUCCUGUUCAUUAUUGUACUCACUGUUCUUGUUGCUCUCACUGUUAUUUAUUGUGUGUUGUCAUUAAAUUACUAUAUUUGUCUUGGUUUCCAUUAUUAAACUGUUCUGA